rnacentral:rRNA from 1 species
GACGAACGCUGGCGGCGUGCUUAACACAUGCAAGUCGAACGAUGAAGAAGAGAAACGCGAACUUCGGUUCAAAUUUCACUUCGGAUUAGUGGCAGACGGGUGAGUAACGCGUGAGCAACCUACCUCUUACAAAGGGAUAGCCUCGGGAAACCGUGAUUAAUACCAUAUGACACAUUCAUAAGGCAUCUUAAGAAUGUUAAAGCUACGGCGGUAAGAGAUGGGCUCGCGUCCCAUUAGCUAGUUGGUGAGGUAACGGCCCACCAAGGCGACGAUGGGUAACCGGCCUGAGAGGGUGAACGGUCACAUUGGAACUGAGACACGGUCCAAACUCCUACGGGAGGCAGCAGUGGGGAAUAUUGCACAAUGGAGGGAACUCUGAUGCAGCGACGCCGCGUGAGCGAUGAAGGAAUUCGUUUCGUAAAGCUCUGUUCCAUGGGAAGAAAAGGACUGUACCAUAGGAGAAAGCCCCGGCUAAAUACGUG